AUAUACAGGGAUGCUCCUAA
rnacentral:piRNA from 1 species